CACGUAGGGUGCGAGCGUUGUCCGGAAUUAUUGGGCGUAAAGAGCUCGUAGGCGGUGUGUCGCGUCGGCCGUGAAAACCUGCAGCUUAACUGUGGGCUUGCGGUCGAUACGGGCAUCACUGGAGUUCGGCAGGGGAGACUGGAAUUCCUGGUGUAGCGGUGAAAUGCGCAGAUAUCAGGAGGAACACCGGUGGCGAAGGCGACACACUGGCCCGUAACUGACGCUGAGGCGCGAAAGCGUGGGGAGCAAACAGG
rnacentral:rRNA from 1 species